rnacentral:rRNA from 1 species
UCAGACGAUGCGUCAUGCAUAUCAAUAAGCGGAGGAAAAGAAACUAACAAGGAUUCCCUUAGGUAACGGCGAGUGAAGCGGGAAGAGCUCAAAUUUGAAAUCUUCAAGGUUUUACCUUGACGAAUUGUAGUUUAAAGAAGUGUUUUCUGCUGAAGUUUUGGUAAAAGUUCUUUGGAAUAGGACAUCAUAGAGGGUGAGAAUCCCGUAUUUGACCAUUAUUUUCAGCUGUGUGAUACACUUUCAAAGAGUCGGAUUGUUUGGGAAUGCAGUCCAAAAUGGGUGGUAAAUUUCAUCUAAAGCUAAAUAUUGGCGAGAGACCGAUAGCGAACAAGUACCGUGAGGGAAAGAUGAAAAGAACUUUGAAAAGAGAGUUAAACAGUACGUGAAAUUGUCAAAAGGGAAGCGCUUGACACCAGUGUUGUUUUCUCGAAAAUCAAUUAAAAAGAGUUAGAUUUUGUUGUGUAUUGACCUUAACAGCUUGCAUUUCAAUUUUCUUGCUUUUUUUAAUGCACUUUUCGUUUAACAAGUCAACAUCAGUUUCUUUUGUUGUAAAAAGGUCAUUGGAAGGUGGCUUUCUUUUCGGAGAAAGUGUUUAUAGCCUUUGACUCCUGCAAUCGGAGAGACUGAGGUCUGCAGCGUAGAUCCUUCGGGGUUAGAUACAUUUGUGCUAAGUUAUAGCUUUUUAUAGACAACUUGUUGACUAUGAUUAGUCUUGUAGCUUACUCGCUUAUGCUAUUUUACCUACGCUUAGGAUGUUGAGUCGUAGAGCACGCAG